AAACUAGGAUUAGAUACCCUAUUGGAUUUUCCUUAAUUUGUAAGUUAAAUAAAAGAUUAUGAAAGCAAAAAAUUAUGGCGGUAUUUUAAGCUUUUCAGAGGAAUUUGCUCUUUAAUGGAUAAAACACCUAAAUCUUACUUAAAUUUGUUAAUUCAAUUUGUAUACCACUAUAAAAACAAUUUAUAACUUUAAUUGUUGAUAUUUAUUAAAUUAAAAUAUAUUAAGUCAAGGUGCAGUAAAAAUUUAAGGAUGAAGUGAAUUACAUUACUUUUUAGAGAAAUAAAUUUAAAAUAAUAUUUAGGAUUUGAAAGUAAAAUUAAAAUAUAAUGUUAAUUUGAAUUAAGCUCUAAAAUAUGUACACAUCGCCCGUCGCUCUCAUU
rnacentral:rRNA from 1 species